AGAAGCAACCAUAUCAGCACUAAUGCACGGGAUUCCAUCCGAACUCCGAAGUUAAGCAUGCUUGGGCGAGAAUAGUUCUAAGAUGGGCUUGUCUUAUGACUAUCAUAGAUACAGGAUAGUGGCUUGAC
rfam:Cephalotus follicularis DNA, scaffold: scaffold5245, isolate: St1.